rnacentral:rRNA from 1 species
AAGCGAACCUGCGAAGGCAAGCGGAUCUCUUAAAGCCGUUCUCAGUUCGGACUGUAGGCUGCAACUCGCCUACACGAAGCUGGAAUCGCUAGUAAUCGACGGAUCAGCACGCCGCGGUGAAUACGUUCCCGGGCCUUGUACACACCGCCCGUCACACCAUGAGAGUCUGUAACACCCAAAGCCGGUGGGAUAACCUUUAUAGGAGUCAGCCGUCUAAGGUAGGACAGAUGAUUAGGGUGAAGUCGUAACAAGGUACC